rnacentral:misc_RNA from 1 species
AAGUCGUAACAAGGUUUCCGUAGGUGAACCUGCGGAAGGAUCAUUCACUGUUGUAGUUGUGGGGGGGUUGGAGUUCUCUCUUUCUCUCUCACUUCUCAUAUCCUUAACCAAAACCUAACUGAGCCGUGUCUAAUCAACCAAAUCCUGCGAAAACAUAUUUACCUGCGUGUUCAUUUUCUGGAAGUAGCGGGUAGGGGUUGUCUAAAUUCAUUUUUAGCUGACCUCUGUCUGGGCCCUGCUGUUGACCUGGUUUCAACUCGGCGGGGAAGCCUUACAUCAUCUGUGUCUACACUUUUAACCUUGUUGGCUUGAGAAAUUGGGCUAACUUAUUGAAACAAUUGUUGAAUAAACAUUACAACUCUUUGCAAUGGAUAUCUUGGUUCUC